rnacentral:tRNA from 1 species
UGCCUGGUGGUCUAAUGGUAGGACAUCGGUUUUUGAUAUCGGUAAUCAAGGUUCGAAUCCUUGCCGGGCAA